rnacentral:rRNA from 1 species
CCUACGGGAGGCAGCAGUGGGGAAUAUUGGACAAUGGGGGGAACCCUGAUCCAGCCAUGCCGCGUGUGUGAAGAAGGCCCUCGGGUUGUAAAGCACUUUCAGUGAGGAAGAACGCCUGGUGGUUAAUACCCAUCAGGAAAGACAUCACUCACAGAAGAAGCACCGGCUAACUCCGUGCCAGCAGCCGCGGUAAUACGGAGGGUGCGAGCGUUAAUCGGAAUUACUGGGCGUAAAGCGCGCGUAGGUGGCUUGAUAAGCCGGUUGUGAAAGCCACGGGCUCAACCUGGGAACGGCAUCCGGAACUGUCAAGCUAGAGUGCAGGAGAGGAAGGUAGAAUUCCCGGUGUAGCGGUGAAAUGCGUAGAGAUCGGGAGGAAUACCAGUGGCGAAGGCGGCCUUCUGGACUGACACUGACACUGAGGUGCGAAAGCGUGGGUAGCAAACAGGAUUAGAUACCCGUGUAGUC